rnacentral:lncRNA from 1 species
ACCUAAUCAGACUUGAUCUGAUUGAAUCAAAUUCAAUAAGACUUUAUCCAGACUUUAAUGCUCAAUUAAAUUGAGCUAAUUAGUAAUCAUCACUAAUUAAUCUUUUAUUAAAGAUGGAGUCCAAGUCUAGUGGGACUCUUCUCUAGAGUCUCCGUCCAGUGAGACUCUUCAGCAGAGUCCUUGUCAAGUAGGACUCUUCACCAGAGUCCUCGUUGACUGAAACUCAUCAAACUAGCCAAGUGAUCAGAGAAGAAUUUUCUAAUGUGUGUGACCUCAUAGGUUCGAACCUAAGCUGGUAGCACAGAAACUGAUUUCUGUACCAAUCGAAGUAACCAUCUAGCAAUGGCACCCGACGUCCGGAUAGGUCGAAUGUAUGCUAAGCAACACUCAAGAACCUAUUUGAAUAUAGUUACCAUAUAAUUCAUCCAUUUGAUCCAAAUGCUCAAGGUGACCUAGGAUUUAACUGCCAACCCUGAUAUGGUCAUCCACAUUGUAUUUCAAUUUUUAAAAUUCAUUACAUGGAUUAUCCCGGUCAAGAUUUUACUGAAUUGAAACACACUAAUACAUUUACUCCUACUUAUUCGGAGAGGUCAAUUCCAUCUUGACUCACACACCGACUUCACAAGUAUUUGACUAUGUCC